UUUAACGGCCGCGGUAUCCUGACCGUGCGAAGGUAGCGCAAUCACUUGUCUCUUAAAUAGGGACCUGUAUGAAUGGCAAAACGAGGGCUUAGCUGUCUCCCUUUACAAGUCAGUGAAAUUGACCUGCCCGUGCAGAUGCGAGCACAAUAAUACAAGACGAGAAGACCCUUUGGAGCUUAAAACACAAGCCACCAUGUCAAUAUUCUUAAUAACCUAGACUAAACAACAGCACUGGCCCAGUUUUCGGUUGGGGCGACCACGGAGUAAAACAAAACCCCCAUGCAGACAGGGAAUACCCUAAAACCAAGAAAAACAUUUCUAAGUCACAGAACAUCUGACUAUACAGAUCCGGCCUUCCAGCCGAUCAACGAACCAAGUUACCCUAGGGAUAACAGCGCAAUCCCCUCCCAGAGUCCAUAUCGACAAGGGGGUUUACGACCUCGAUGUUGGAUCAGGACAUCCUAUUGGUGCAGCCGCUAUUAAGGGUUCGUUUGUUCAACGAUUAAAGUCCUAC
rnacentral:rRNA from 1 species